GGUUCCGUAGUGUAGUGGUUAUCACGUUCCCCUUCACAGGGAAAGGGUUCCGGUUCGACCCCGGGGAACCA